AAAUCAACUUUCUGUGAAAAUCAUAUUUUAUAGUAUAAAUUAUAUUUUUUUAUUCAUGCUUUGGUAUUACGACUUUAGUUAAAUUCUGUUAGAUUGACUUUUAUGUUUUAAUGCAAUUGUUCUGUUAAGCUUACAGUCCCUGUUGCCUCGCCCAAUGUUCAAAAUAGUGCCUUGUCAGAGCUGUGGGGGAAAAAAAUGCUGCAAAUAAUUGAAGGGCAUUUUUUCUAGGACAACUGCGAAACGGCAUUCCAUGUGGGUCAUUUCGUGGUGUUACAUGAUAUGUUAAAUAAAAUUCAACCACGUUUGCGUAAUUUUGUUCACGUUGACAGCCACAUUUAAGGCCUCCAAAAAGUAGGCUUUGUAAAAUGUAUUUAUUUACCCUAUAUUCCUAUAUUUCUAUCCAUGGAAUGGAGACUUUUGAUAACAAGAUAUUCUUGUUUAAUAUCUGUUUAUAAGUAUUUUCACAAUAUACUCGCAAUAUACUCGAUGUUUUGUAUAGCCAGCAUCAACUAAGCCGAAGAUAAU